rnacentral:tmRNA from 1 species
GUAGGAGAACGAGACGUCGCCCCGGGGAUGUUGUCCCGAAUCUUACGGAAUAGGCGGCGCAGGCAAAUCGGGAAUAGUUUCUUAAGGCUCCGGUUGAGAAAUGAAUUUUUAGGAGAUAAGGCUCCGGUUGGUGGUCCAGGUCUUGCCGUAGCACGAAAAUGAAGUCUGGAAUAAGCGUGUAGAAAGCGUAUGGUUUCCUUGUGCGGACGAGGGUUCGACUCCCUCCAGCUCCACCA